rnacentral:rRNA from 1 species
GGACUACCCGGGUAUCUAAUCCUGUUUGCUCCCCUAGCUUUCGUUCCUCAGCGUCAGUAGUGGUCCAGCGCGCCGCCUUCGCCACGGGUGUUCCUGCAGAUAUCUACGCAUUUCACCGCUACACCUGCAAUUCCACGCGCCUCUCCCACACUCCAGCACAGCAGUUUCGGAAGCAGCCUCUGGGUUAAGCCCAGAGAUUUCACUCCCGACUUGCUACACCGCCUACGAACCCUUUACACCCAGUAAUUCCGAACAACGCUGGCCCCCUACGUCUUACCGCGGCGGCUGGCAC